AGUGAACGCUGGCGGUAGGCCUAACACAUGCAAGUCGAACGGCAGCACAGUAAGAGCUUGCUCUUACGGGUGGCGAGUGGCGGACGGGUGAGGAAUACAUCGGAAUCUACUUUUUCGUGGGGGAUAACGUAGGGAAACUUACGCUAAUACCGCAUACGACCUACGGGUGAAAGCAGGGGAUCUUCGGACCUUGCGCGAUUGAAUGAGCCGAUGUCGGAUUAGCUAGUUGGCGGGGUAAAGGCCCAGCAAGGCGACGAUCCGUAGCUGGUCUGAGAGGAUGAUCAGCCACACUGGAACUGAGACACGGUCCAGACUCCUACGGGAGGCAGCAGUGGGGAAUAUUGGACAAUGGGCGGAAGCCUGAUCCAGCCAUACCGCGUGGGUGAAGAAGGCCUUCGGGUUGUAAAGCCCUUUUGUUGGGAAAGAAAAGCAGCAGGUUAAUACCCCGCUGUUCUGACGGUACCCAAAGAAUAAGCACCGGCUAACUUCGUG
rnacentral:rRNA from 1 species